GCCCGGGUGGUGAAAUUGGUAGACACACAAGACUUAAAAUCUUGCGACUUCACGGUCGUGCCGGUUCGAUUCCGGCCCCGGGCACCA
rnacentral:tRNA from 1 species